UCUAAUAAAAUUAUGAAAUUUUUUUCAGGACCUGAAGAUGAAUUAUGAAAGGGUGUGACAAGUAUCAGUAAUGCAGGAAGACGCAGAGGUAGAGCAAGAAGAGUAGUGAAAAGAGAGACCUAAAUAAGGAGCAAAUUAUUGGCAUGGGAAAAAUUCCGAUACAAUUUCCUGGUCUGAACACUUUUGUGUUUAGAGGAAAAGAAUUAAUUCAACAGCUAAAACUGCUUUUAAAUCUUGAAAGAAAGCAAAAACUUAUGGAAUUACCACAAAAUUAGACCAGACCAAUGCAAAUAAAAUUAUCGCCAUUGGAAUGUGGUUGGAGGAGUGUUACAAUGAAUGGCAGAAGCAUUGAAUCAGAUCUUAUUGGAAAAGAUACAUUUGAAAGUUUUGAAACCUGGAUUUUGGAAAACAAAAUGAUAACUUGUAUGACCAGUAAUUUAGCACGUAAGACUAGAAUCAAUUUAUUUUAUAGUAACUGGGAAUGGAAAUGGAUUGGCUGGAUUUGCGUUAUCAAAAGCCAAAGCAUCCCUAAAGACGAUUAAAAAUAGGUCUGGUCAAAGAUUAAUGUAUAUUCCUACAUAUAAGAAACACACUGUGUUACAUGAUUUCUUUACACAGUUUGAGAAUAUAAAAAUAUUUGUAAAGAAAAUUCAU
rnacentral:lncRNA from 1 species